rnacentral:rRNA from 1 species
UACAGAGGGUGCAAGCGUUGUUCGGAAUUAUUGGGCGUAAAGCGCGUGUAGGCGGCUUUGCAAGUCGGGUGUGAAAGCCCUCAGCUCAACUGAGGAAGUGCGCCCGAAACUGCAGAGCUUGAGUGCCGGAGAGGGUGGCGAAUUCCCCAAGUAGAGGUGAAAUUCGUAGAUAUGGGGAGGAACACCGGUGGCGAAGGCGGCCACC